rnacentral:rRNA from 1 species
CCAAUAGCGUAUAUUAAAGUUGUUGCGGUUAAAAAGCUCGUAGUUGAAUUUCGGAAUUGAUGCAUCGGUCGUGCCUUAAGGGGCAUGAACUGGUGUAGCCAAUUUCUCACCUUCUGGUGAAUUGUUGAUGUUCUUAAUGGGUGUCUCAAUGAACUAGAAUUUUUUACUUUGAAAAAAUUAGAGUGUUUAAAGCAGGCAUUAAUUUGCUUGAAUACAUUAGCAUGGAAUAAUGAAAUAGGACAGUGGUUCCGUUUUGUUGGUUUCUAGGAUCACGUAAUGAUUAAUAGGGACAGUUGGGGGAAUUAGUAUUCAAUUGUCAGAGGUGAAAUUCUUGGAUUUAUUGAAGACUAACUAUUGCGAAAGCAUUUGCCAAGGAUGUUUUCAUUAAUCAAGAACGAAAGUUAGGGGAUCAAAGACGAUUAAGUACGUCGUAGUCCUAACCAUAAACUAUACCGACUAGGAAUCAGACGAUGUUAAUUUUUUAAUGACUCGUUUGGUACCUUAUG